AGUGGACCUCAAGCUUGGAGAAUAGGAUGCAGCCACAAAAAGAUCAAGACGGUGUACACUGCAACAGUGUUUAAGUAGGUGGUAUGUGUCAAAGUAACAUCCACAUGAAUGCCAGGACCCAAGGUUUCCCAGCAGAACAUUUCCCAGAGCAUCACACUGCCUCUGAUGGCUUUCCUUCUUCCCAUAGUGCAUCCAGGUGCCAUCUCUUCCCCAGGUGUUUUCAGAGGUGGACAAGGGUCAGCAUGGGUACUCUGACUGGUAUGCAGCUACGCAGCCCCAUACGCUGCAAGCUGUGACGCACUGUGUGUUCUGACACUUUACUAUCAUAGCCAGCAUUAACUUUUUCAGCAAUUUGUGCUACAGUAGCUCUUCUGUUGGAUCGGACCAGACGGGCUAACCUUCACUCCCCACACACAUCACUGAGACCUGGGCGCCCAUGACCGCUUGCUAAUUCAGCAGUUGUCCUUCCUUGGACCACUUUGGUAGGUACUAAGCACUGCAUACCGGGAACACCCCACAAGUCCUGCUGUUUUGGAGAAGCUCUGGCCCAGUUGUCUAGCCAUCACAAUUUGGCCCUUGUCAAAGUCACACAGAUCCUUACACUUUUUUUCAGCUUCC
ensembl:lncRNA